UUUUUAAAUAAUUGAACGAAUUGCAGUUGACAGGAUAUUCAUUGGAGCAAAGCAACAAACAAAAUUUAGAUCAAGUUUUCCAUCAUCUCAAGUCAUUGAAAGGAAGAAUAGGUGGAUCUGCAGCAAUUUUAUUAGACUCAAUAUUCCAAUUACGAGCUUCAAAUUGGGGUCAUUCUACUGAAGAACUCUCAGAUUCAGAUCAAGAUAACGAUGUAUUUGAUGGAUUACCAACUAAAGUUAUGUACGACAUUGAUGGAGGUUCAUUAACAACUGAAGAAAGUGAAUUUAUUGCGUCCCAUAUCAACUCGAAUGAAGAUUAUGAUACAGACGAUUUCGAUCCUGACGAAUUAUGUGAUCCCGAACCAGAAAUGGACGAAGAAAUACAAGAGGCUUUCAAGGAAUUCCUUAGAUUUAGUAGUGGUAAACAUUAGUGUGUAAUGUUGGCAUAGUCUUGUAAAAAAUUUGUCUCUGAGUUGUGAUUUCAUGUUUUUUUUAGAAAGCGUCAAUAUGCGUGUAAGCUGUGAAUUUUUUUACUGAUACCUACUUAUUAUUUAUAAGUCUAUACCUAAAUUGAUGUAUACAUCACAAUCCCAAUAAAAUGUUCUUAUUUUAAAUUGAGAUUUAUCCAACUAAAACAAAGUUUUAAUAAUAGUUACUACAAUUUUCUACACUAUUAUUCGAAUAUCCAUAAAGAUAUUUUUAUUUUAAAUUUAAAGUGGACAUUACCUUGAGUAACAUCAAGUGAUCGCAACAUACUUUAUACUGAAGUAAAUAUAUAUGUUACAGUUAAAAAUCAUUUUUCGUUAGAACUCGUUUUCCCUGGUUAAAACUAGUUUUUACCUAAUGUCUUUGUUAAAACUAGAAAUACCCAUUUAAAACUAGAAUUUACCACUGAUCUACUUGAGUUUCAGAUAAAACUAAUUGUCACAUCGAGUUGUAGUUAAAACUAGCACUAGAAAAAAUAAUUUAGAAUAAAAAACAAGAUAUAGUUUUUGAUAUAUUUAUUGAAAAGAUUUAAGACACUGAGAACCAAAUAAUCUAACACUGAAGGAACAUUUUAGGGAACAUCGACUUAACCCUUAAAGGACGGAGUUUUUUGUUUAUAAAUAAUGAAUAAUAUUUGACAGUUUCGUUUAAUAUAUGUAACCUAAAAACAACCUUAAGAUAACAAAAUAAAUCUUUAGUUUCUUUAAACCAGAUGUUACCACAUGACAACGCUAAAUUUGAUAUUUGUCCAAUGUAAUAUUAGAAAUAUUAUUUCUUUGUAAGACAGAAACACAGAAAGUUUAAAAUUGGGAAGUUACAAUUUAAGUAGAGACCUACAUUGCAUUUAAUGCAGAUAUGCAUUAUUGAAUUGCUUCACUCUUUUAUAGAACUCUUUAUGCACUUCCUAGCAUCAGUGUGUUUGAAUUCCAGUUUUCAUUUUUUGCUACUUCAUUCAUUUGAUGUAUUGUUUUCCUUUGUCGUCCCCCUUCCUGUGCUAUUUGUUGUAGCCAAGUUUUCAUGGGCCUCACUUUCCUUCUUUAAUUAUAUCUUUUUGCUUAUGUCACUUUUCUUAUUAUAUUUUUGGUGUUUACCUCCUUUAUUAUCCUAUCCAUCCUUGUCCCUGCUAUUUUCCUUAGUUGCUUCAUCUCCACAUGCAAAAGUGGUCACUAUCUAUUCUUUGUCCUUUCAUUAUAACUACCAUUCUUUUGCAUUCUCGAUAUUUACUACCAUUCCCAGGUCUUCUAUUGUCUUUUUUCCAUUUUCUUGAAUGUAUCAGCUAUGAUUACUAUAUCGUCUGCAUAUACUAAUCCUAGUCUAUUUCUACCGGUUUUAGGUUUCUGUAACUAAUUAUUGUAACGUUUUUCUAAUUUAAACUUUAAAUUUAAAUUAGAAUUAGAAAAUUUAAAUUAAUAUUUAAACUGUUUUUCAACAAUUUGUUCCAAAAAAAUAGUUUCUGUUUAUAAAAAGCAUACUUCAAAGGCAAUAUCAAAGACGCCGCCGCAUUCGCCAAAUUUUAUAAUUCCAUUAUAGUUUUACAUUACACACUAUUUACACUAUCAUUACAUAACACUCACAAUUACACUGUCUAACGCGCGUUUCGAUAAGCAACUUAACGUCCUCAGAUAACAAUAGUUUUUUGCGUGAACUCACUACACUGGGGAGAUUUAUGGGUAUAUUAUGUAAAAAGCGCAAACUUAAAAAAGGAUUGAUCUAUAUUGUUAAGAAUGUAUUUUCUUAUUUAUUCAGUGAGGUAAUUAUUUAAACUUUGUUUUAAUUUUAAUGAACAAACUUGAGGAAGUGAUCAGUAAUUGUGUAUUUUGUCUAGUACCAAUAUAAUUUGUAAUUUUGAAAAUGGUUUGGAUAUUUUUCAAAUCUCUUAGAACCCCAUAGAUAUUUGUAAAAAAAUUCAAAUCAAUUUCGGAAUCAAUUUUAACCACCACCGUUAACAAACCAGUUGAUAUUGGAUUGUUUUAUCGCGUAUACAGACAAAAUGAAAUGAUAUUUUGAAUUUCUUUGAUCUGUUAAGACAAAACGCUUCAAAUCAUGGGCGUCACCAGAAAGGGACAAGGGGGCCACGACCUCCCCCUGGAGCAGCGAAAAUAAAACUUAAAUUUGUAAAUAAAAAAUUAGGGCGACUGAUAAUGUUUUUAUUAAAAAUGAACUAAAAACGUGAAUGUAACGUUUGUUUUAUUAAUACAUACACAACGGCUUGUUGAUACUGUAA